rnacentral:rRNA from 1 species
UACGGAGGAUGCAAGCGUUUUCCGGAAUGAUUGGGCGUAAAGCGUCCGCAGGUGGCUAUGUAAGUCUGCUGUUAAAGAGUGAGGCUCAACCUCAUAAGAGCAGUGGAAACUACAUAGCUAGAGUGCGUUCGGGGCAGAGGGAAUUCCUGGUGUAGCGGUGAAAUGCGUAGAUAUCAGGAAGAACACCGGUGGCGAAAGCGCUCUGCUAGGCCGCAACUGACACUGAGGGACGAAAGCUAGGGGAGCGAAUGGG